UCUCUCUCUCUCGUCCGAAGCCACCAACACAGAGCAAACUUCUCCAGCCUUAUUCUCCUUUCAUCGUCCACCUCCAGACGUCGGACCACUCCCCUUGGCUUCGCCUCAGUCCGCUCUACCAGUUGGACGUCGUUGUUCCCUCCGACAUAACCUCAAAUUCUGGCAAACCAACUCGAUCCGGUUACACCCGAAACCGAACCAACUCAUUCUCCUCGUGUUUCCGGCCACCAAUCCCCACCAAACUUCAUCCUCAAGCUCGCCUCAACCCCCUGAAGCUUCCAGAAGUGUCCUUGCAUGGCGACGCAGCGCGUGGUGGCGGCUGGAGGACAGAAACGAUCCGAAUCGAAAAACCGAGCUAUCGAUCCUGAUAUCUUGAGGUACAGACCACCAUUUCUUGUGAUUAUUGAACUGGUGAGCGCGCCUUGAGUUUCUGAACAAAUCCCAGAAAGGAUCGAAUCGAGUUGUUGACAUUUUCACGUGGAUCGGAGCACUCGCCGGAUUCUGGAAAAAUUCCGGCCACUGUGACUGAUUUCGGUAAUUGGCGGUCUUCCUAGGGUGAGCUGUUUCGGUGUGUUUUGUAUUAAAGUGAAGACGCAGCGGGAAUAUCAAGCGGGUAAUCCUACAGGUCAGGAGAAUCGGGAAGGUGAUCAGGCUGCUUAGAGUGGUGGUAUUUGAGCUACAGCAUUAUUGUGAGGUUGUUAUGCUCAUUUGAGCUUACAUUUAAAUUUGGAGAGAGUGUGCUGUAAUAUUAACCUCUUGAGGAUUUGGUUUAUGUAUUAUUGAGUGAUGUGAGGUGUGUUUAUUUCUGAGAAAAAAAUUCAGAACG